CCCAAUCGGGUGCGAUGGCUAGGGUUUGUCUCACUCCUCUCUCUCCCACGCUCCCUUGCGUCGCCGCCGCCACCCCCUCCCAUUCCCAGCCCGUGCUCUCCUCUCUUCCUCACCUCCCUUACGCCACCAUCCGUCGGGAAGCACCACGGUCGUUGUUGCUCCGCGCCGCUGCUCCUGAGCCGAGCUUGUGCAUCGGCAUCACCGUGAGGGGCAUGGCCUGCUGAGACGGCCGUCCAUGUCGCUGUUGCCGUCGUUCUUCGCGCCAUCGGAUAGUAUGGCCGCCACCGCAUGCCCCUGUCGAGCGCGUGCCAUCACCGUCGUCAUCCAUCGGGGAAGUACAAGCCACUGUACGGACUCACCAUACCGGCCAUGCCAGCCAAAUCUCCUCUGCACCUCCUAACAGGCUUGUCUAGCACUAAAGGGGACACAUUUUUACACUCCCGCUAAUUUUUAAUCAUCUCAAUUAUGACUUGUUAGUAGGAUGUUGUUUGUAGAAUUUAGUUUUUUUUUGUUGCAAUCCAUUAUGAAGCAUACAGGUGCUUAGAUUUUGAUAUUUUUUAGUUUGGUCAGCUCAGAUGUUGAUAACUUUUCAGUUUGUUUCAAGCUGUUUAGUUCAGAUUCUGAUACUUUGUGUACCAUUUAUAGAAGAUGCUAUGUAAGAUGAUGGCAAGGUUUAGUUAUCUGAAAAUACAAGUGAAGUUCGGCAUGGUUUCAAUGAUGUUUUAAAAAAAAUCCAUGUAUCAUUGACCUACAACAAAGCUCAGUCUAUGCAAGAUAAUUUGGCGACGGGUCAUAUAUUAAGAGUUGGUGGAGAUUCAAGACUUACAUGACUGCUAUUGUAGCAACAAUGCUAUGGGCAGAUGGCUAUCUUUCCUACCACUCUCACUCUUGGCUAUACUUCAACCCAAACAUCAACGAAGCAAAGAACUUGAUUUACAAGAGCAGUAGCACACCGACAUGCAUAAGGAAGCCGACGGACAGCCAGAGCAAGGUGUGGAGCUUGAGCUACAACGAGAAUGACAACUUGGGUGUUAGCUGCAAAAACCAACAGUUCAAGUGUUCAAACAGUUCAACUUGGGCUGAUAGAGUUUGCUAUUAAAUUUCUUUCUUGGAAAAUAAUUUGCUGCUAUUACUUCAAAUGUUACAAUGUUUGGUUAUCUUUUGAGACCUUCAUGUUUCCUAUUUCAUGUUGGCAUUGUCAAUGUUUACAGUAAUGUGCAAGCAGAAAUUACUCGUGUUGAGUAAAACCUUCUAUGA